AGAACACAUUUGAUUCAUUAAAAGGGUCUGGCAUAGUUGAUUAAAGUUGGCUUGAUGCCACGGCUGUUGAUGCUAGGCUGAAAUUACACUGUCAGUACUGUCAUAGUUGGGCUGUAAUGAAAACCACGCGUGUCAGGUCAGAGGUCAUAGUUGGGCUGUAAUGAAAACCACGAGUAUCAGGUCAGAGGUCAUAGGUGGGCUGUAAUGAAAACCACGAGUAUCAGGUCAGAGGUCAUAGUUGGGCUGUAAUGAAAACCACGGGUGGCAGGUCAGAGGUCAUAGUUGGGCUGUAAUGAAAACCACGAGUAUCAGGUCAGAGGUCAUAGUUGGGCUGUAAUGAAA
ensembl:lncRNA